AUUGAACGCUGGCGGCAUGCCUUACACACGCAAGUCGAACGGCAGCACGGGAGCUUGCUCCUGGUGGCGAGUGGCGAACGGGUGAGUAAUACAUCGGAACGUACCCAGUAGUGGGGGAUAACGCACCGAAAGGUGCGCUAAUACCGCAUACGACCUACGGGUGAAAGCGGGGGACCGUAAUGCCUCGCGCUAUUGGAGCGGCCGAUGUCUGAUUAGCUAGUUGGCGGGGUAAAAGCCCACCAAGGCGACGAUCAGUAGCUGGUUUGAGAGGACGAUCAGCCACACUGGGACUGAGACACGGCCCAGACUCCUACGGGAGGCAGCAGUGGGGAAUUUUGGACAAUGGGGGCAACCCUGAUCCAGCAAUGCCGCGUGUGCGAAGAAGGCCUUCGGGUUGUAAAGCACUUUUGUCAGGGAAGAAAUCUUUCAGGCUAAUACCCUUGGAAGGAUGACGGUACCUGAAGAAUAAGCACCGGCUAACUACGUGCCAGCAGCCGCCGUAA
rnacentral:rRNA from 1 species